rnacentral:sRNA from 1 species
AAGCUGAUGGUAUAAUCAAGCUUGCGAGAAGUUUUAUGGGCGGUGGCUGGUUUCUCGAAAUGGGGUGGUUCCAAUGGACUAUUCUGUAGAAAGGAAGGCAGCCCAUGAGUGUCUACCAGGCCCUCAUGCUGAUGUUGGCAUUCGCAACCUUCGUCGUUGCGUUGUUGACCUUUA